UGAGGUAGUAGUUUGUAUAGUUUUGGGAUCACACCAGAUCUGGGAGAUAACUAUACAGUCUACUGUCUUUC
rnacentral:pre_miRNA from 1 species